rnacentral:ncRNA from 1 species
AAUAAUCUGCCACCGGGUAGAGAGAUGCUCAGGCAUCCGUUUGCACAUCGUCAGGUCACAGAAGAUGUGUAUGCGGAUGCCUGUUUUUA